UCGAUAUGUAAUGUUAAUAUGCAAUACUGAUUUUGAGACAAAUAUCCCAUGGAUUUACUACUUCUACAUGCAGUGCACUCGUAACAACGUGUUUCGAUAUUAUACUACUACAAAUAAUAAAAAAAAUAAUAAAAAUAAAAUAUUUAUAAAGCACCUGCAUUUGCAAAAAUAAGUUAUAAAUUAUAUUAGAAAAAGAUGUUUGUCUGGAUCCCAAAAUAACCACCAAAAAAAUUCAAAAAUUAAAAAAAAAUAGUUUGCGUCAUUUUAUUGCUUCCAAUUUAAAGAGUCUAAAGGCGGGUCCAGACUUCUACCUCCCUCCCAAGUCUGAAGUCGCUAGCUGCAAAUGUGGAGUACUUAUUAUGUUUUAUAAAAUUGCACGGAAUAUCGCGAACACCCUGUACAAUACUUAAAAACCGUAUACACAAAACUUUAAGCUGUCUAUAUCGGCUAUAUCGUCACGUAAAAGAAACUGACAUCUAAAACACAGAUUUGGAAUUAUUGCCAAAUUUUCAAUAAUAAGGGGCCCCAUUUUUCAGUUUUUUUGAAUUUGCGGCGCACCCUGUAUAUUCGACAAUUGUCGACAACAAAAGUUUAUAGAGCCGUAUCUUCUGCUUCUUCUGGUUCAAGAAUUUUUUUGGUCUCUGAAACAGUUUUUGAUGUUUUUUGUAGACCCUUGCACACGCGAUUUUUAAUUUUUUUAGAAUACUUCCCGACCCCCCAACCCCCCAUUUUGAAUAGGUUCCGUCACGAGGCAAAGCUGCAUAUAUGUGCCAAAUAUGAAGUCGAUUGCUUCAAAUUUCGGACACUUGUCGUGUUUCAUAGCAAGGUCCAAAAAACAGUCGAAAAUCGCGAAAAAACGAUGGAUCAGGACCAUUUCUUAUAAGCUUAUGCGCCUCGUGAAAGAGGCAAAUUUCUAUUUCGCAGCUCCAACGAGAACGGAGAAAGGAGAACGGACAGACAAAAAAAAAUUUUUUUUCGACGGUGAUCAUUUCUGUACCCACGGCGAUCCCGUAGGACUGUUACGGAGAUAAAAAAUUUUUAUACGAGGGCAAGGAAACCUGAUGGCGGAGCCUCCAUAUGACAAAGCAGUAACCAGAAAGUUUUUUGAGAAUGUGGGGGGGGGUAUAGGGCGUUCACUGUAUUAUUAUCAUAGGUUCCCAGUUAGUCACGGUUCUAUAAUUAGACGUGCGUAUCCGUUUAAAUACGCUCGCGUGGUCCAGAUCGAAAAACGGAAUUAUUUCGUCGCCGCUUCGAAGAUUAUUAGCAACACGUGUGACUGAUAACAUUCGGUUAUAAAAUGCCACGGACUUGUAAAAAUUCCUCAGAUUGUUUUUGCUACAUGUGUGGGGAAUACAUACUAAAAACACAGCGACAUGUCAUGACCGAUCUGGUUAAAACAGCUUAUAAACUAUAUUUUAGAUUUUGCCAAAAUAUUGGUUGGUUGUCAAAAGUAUGCUGCAAUAGCCGCUCAAGAACGUUGAGAGGUUGCCUUGAAGAAAGUCACAAAUCCAUGCCGUUUUCAAUGCCAAUGAUUUGGAGUGAACCUCAAAAUCACGAGAAUGAUUGUUAUUUCUGCAUGACAUCUACACGAGGAUUUUCGAAAAAAAAUAGAGAUAAGAUUGUUUAUCCGAACGUCCUAUCUGCAAAGAGACCAAUUCCUCGUGAUAAAGACACUCCACCUCCAGUUCCACCAGUUAAUGAGGAGGCUGAAAAUAAAAAUAUUUCAGGUCUACAAUCUCAAUCGAGUUAUGUUAAUAUAAUUUAGGAUUUUUUACUGUAAAACUCAAGCCGCCACAUUUUUUAUUUCCUUGUAAUAAUUUAUGCUUUAAUAAUAUUGUUUUUUGAUGAAAUAAAUAUUAAAUUAAAAACCUA